GCAGAGGUUACCGAGUUAGGACAAAGGCGCUAGAUUAAGGGUCUAGUCUCGAAGGAGUUCGCGGGUUCAAAUCCCGUCCUCUGCA
rnacentral:tRNA from 5 species